UACAGAGGGUGCAAACGUUGCUCGGAAUUACUGGGCGUAAAGCGCGUGUAGGUGGAUUGGUGUGUCAGAUGUGAAAGCCCUGGGCUCAACCCAGGAACUGCACCUGAAACUACCAGUCUUGAGUGGUGGAGAGGGAAGUGGAAUUCCUGGUGUAGAGGUGAAAUUCGUAGAUAUCAGGAGGAACACCAGUGGCGAAGGCGGCUUCCUGGACACUAACUGACGCUGAGACGCGAAAGCGUGGGGAGCGAACAGG
rnacentral:rRNA from 1 species